AAAAAGAUUAAUGACAUACCCCCAACUGCUCAUUGAUUAUAGGUAAUUUCAUGAUCAAAAGCUCAAUCCAUAUAUCACAACCAUCAGACCUUACAGGUUAGACGCCACAUUCUCAUUCUUUUGCCUCAGCCAACCAGUGCAUAUAAACAAUGAACAUAGUAAGUUCCUCCUCUACCUAAAGACUACUUUCAGUAAAAAAUAUGGAAUUCGUUGUAAUUCAAUUUUAGUAUUGACUGGUGAAGAAUUUUUUGUUUGAAAGGCAUGAUACUGUUCAUAAUGAAUAAAUGCCCAAAUGGUGAUGAUGAACUCUCGNNNNNNNNNGCCCGGUGAGAGAGGUGCUACCAUAUGCUUCUCUUUGAGCAUCAUUACAGCCUCAGAAAAUUUCAUCACACUGUAAGAGAUGCACCAUUAUCAGCUCCUGUUA
rnacentral:misc_RNA from 1 species